GUGUGCACAGACAGCGAGUGAAGCCGUCAGGGUGGGCUCCUGCCACGUCUUGGCCCCUCCCCAGAGUCGCUGGACUUAGGAGCUACGGCACGUGACAGACCUUCCCAGUCAGUGGCAGGCGUUUCCCGGGACAGUGUCGGUGUGGCAGGCGGCGCGUGUGCAGCUGCCCGUACACGCUGGACCCCAGACUCCCUUCUCCCUGCGAUGUUCAUGCCAGGGUAAUGCAAGUUGAAUCAAAUCGUGCUGCCACAACGCCCCCUGGAGUAGUUUGUACCCGAAGCGGCUGUCUGACUCUUCCGCGCAGCCUCAGAAGCGCCGGGGUCGGUUUCCUCACUGAAUGUGCGCGGGGAUGCGGCUCCCAGGAGAUUGUGCUGCUGUUUCUGCUCUUCUGCAUCCUCCAUGGCGCCUGGGGCUGAGCCGGGUCCCCGGACGGUGGGACUGGGGAAGGCUUUGCCCGACGGAGCUCGGGGCUCUGUGCCUGACGCUGAGCUCUCCCCUCCCGCACACUGGCCUCCCUGUCUGGGCCCCUCUCGCAUUUCCUCCUGGCAGCUUGGACCUCUCCCUUGCCUUCCUCGCCCUUUGGCCUCCUCUCCAGCCUGUGCUCCUCAGGACGCUACUUAUGUACUUCUCUCUUCUAGGAGCGACCCCGAAGCCAGAGCCAGAGCCAGAGCAGGUCAUAAAAAACUACACGGAAGAGCUGAAAGUGCCCCCAGAUGAGGACUGCAUCAUCUGCAUGGAGAAGCUGUCCGCAACGUCUGGAUACAGUGAUGUGACUGACAGCAAGGCAGUCGGGCCCCUGGCUGUGGGUCGCCUCACCAAGUGCAGCCACACCUUCCACCUGCUGUGCCUGCUGGCCAUGUACUGCAAUGGCAACAAGGAUGGAAGUCUGCAGUGUCCUUCCUGCAAAACCAUCUAUGGAGAGAAGACGGGGACCCAGCCCCAAGGAAAGAUGGAGGUAUUACGGUUCCAGAUGUCGCUCCCCGGCCACGAGGACUGCGGGACCAUCCUCAUAGUUUACAACAUUCCCCAUGGCAUCCAGGGCCCUGAGCACCCCAAUCCCGGAAAGCCGUUCACUGCCAGAGGGUUUCCCCGCCAGUGCUACCUUCCAGACAACGCCCAGGGCCGUAAGGUCCUAGAGCUCCUGAAGGUGGCCUGGAAGAGGCGGCUCAUCUUCACAGUGGGCACGUCCAGCACCACGGGGGAGACGGACACCGUGGUGUGGAACGAGAUCCACCACAAGACAGAGAUGGACCGCAACGUUACGGGCCACGGCUAUCCUGACCCCAACUACCUGCAGAACGUGCUGGCUGAGCUGGCUGCCCAGGGGGUGACCGAGGACUGCCUGGAGCAACAGUGACCUUGCACCCCAGCACACCUGCCUCUGGUGGCCACCCCGCUGCCCCAUGGCUGGCUGGGUGGCCAGGCAGGAAGUGCCCAGCUCAAGAGGCUGGGAGGUUUGUUGAGGGUGGGGGGUGUGCCCCACCUGAAGCCGGGGCUCCCCCUGCCUCCCUCUCUCUCCUCCCCUCCGGGAAUUGGGCAGCCCUGGGCAGUUGUACUCAUGGGGGCUUAAGAUGCAGCUACCUCAGUGCGCAGGGCCCGUCUGUCCUCUGGGGGCUGCUUCGGGCCCGUGGUGCUCGGGGCCUGGCGUGGGGUGACUAGAGACUUCCCCAGCCUGGACGGGCAUGGGUUCUGGGUCAGCUUCUUUUACCUCAAUUUUGUUUGCAAUAAAUGCUCUAUGGCCAAAGCCA
rnacentral:sRNA from 1 species